rnacentral:rRNA from 1 species
AGACACCACUGUGGAAUAUUGUGCACUAUGGGAGAGCGCGAGACAGAGAAACGGCGUGAGAGAUAAAGACGUUUUGGUAUUAUAAAUCUGUCUGAGAGGAGGAAGUACUACCUGGUUAAUAUAUAUCUAGUUCGACGGUGUCAUCAGAAGAAGCGCAGGGUAAAUCUGCGUCAGCACAGGCGCUAAUAUGGAUAGUGCGCGAGUUGUUUUGAAUUUUUUUGGGUAAAGAGCGCGUAUAGGCGCCUGUAAAUCUGAUAUGAAAAACCCCGGGUCUCACCCCGAAAAGCAUAUGAAAAUGUAGACAACGAGUAUAGGAGAGAAAAAAGGAAUUUUCCGGAGUAGAGGGGAAAUUCGUAGAUAUAUGGAAGAAUACCCGUGGGGAAGAGGACUUUAUGUGGGAAUACUGUCACUGAGACGUGAGAAACGUGGGGAUCACACACGAUUAUAUAUCCCGUUAUUGUCACACGCUCGUUAAACGAAGAGAUACUAGGUAUUGGGGAAGCUGAUCCUUUUGGUGUCCGUAGCUAACGCAAUAAGUUCUCCGCCUGGGGAGUACGGUCGCAAGAUUA